GAUGAACGCUGGCGGCGUGCCUAAUACAUGCAAGUCGAGCGAACGGACGAGAAGCUUGCUUCUCUGAUGUUAGCGGCGGACGGGUGAGUAACACGUGGAUAACCUACCUAUAAGACUGGGAUAACUUCGGGAAACCGGAGCUAAUACCGGAUGAUAUUUUGAACCGCAUGGUUCAAAAGUGAAAGACGGUCUUGCUUUCACUUAUAGAUGGAUCCGCGCUGCAUUAGCUAGUUGGUAAGGUAACGGCUUACCAAGGCAACGAUGCAUAGCCGACCUGAGAGGGUGAUCGGCCACACUGGAACUGAGACACGGUCCAGACUCCUACGGGAGGCAGCAGUAGGGAAUCUUCCGCAAUGGGCGAAAGCCUGACGGAGCAACGCCGCGUGAGUGAUGAAGGUCUUCGGAUCGUAAAACUCUGUUAUUAGGGAAGAACAUAUGUGUAAGUAACUGUGCACAUCUUGACGGUACCUAAUCAGAAAGCCACGGCUAACUACGUG
rnacentral:rRNA from 1 species